UAUGUAGGGACCAAGCGUUGUUCGGAUUUACUGGGCGUAAAGGGCGCGUAGGCGGCCUGACAAGUCACUUGUGAAAUCUCCGGGCUUAACUCGGAACGGUCAAGUGAUACUGUCGCGCUAGAGUGCGGAAGGGGCAAUCAGAAUUCUUGGUGUAGCGGUGAAAUGCGUAGAUAUCAAGAGGAAUACCUGAGGUGAAGACGGGUUGCUAGGCCGACACUGACGCUGAAGCGCGAAAGCCAGGGGAGCAAACGGG
rnacentral:rRNA from 1 species